CGCGGGUGCCAAAGAUAGAAGAGGAAUCUAAGACCUGCCCGGAAUAGGGCGGUUUUUUCAUGUGUUAGGGGAAGACUUGCCAUCCGCUACGGGGAAAGCUUGAAAUUGCUCGAAAUCGGGCUAUAAGCCGCGGAUCAAGCCGGAUCGUUGAUGCCGAUCAAUGAAUUUCGCGAGACGGUAUUCUGACUUUCAGGUGGGUGGUCGCCGGCUUGUUGACGGUCCGUCGAAAAACCGCCGCGACUUUCCAGGGAAGUGUUGCAGUAUUUCGAGAGGAGUAUUUUUUAUUUAUAAGUAAAAAUAAUUUUCCGCUCUUAUCAAAGAACGAAAAAGCACAAGGAAAGAAAUGAAGAA
rnacentral:sRNA from 1 species